CCUCUAGCCUCCCACACCCUGAUCUACUCCAUCCAGGUGAGUGCUUGCUCAUUCCUCCUACUCUCUUCCCUUUUGUCCAUCUUAGUAUCUACUGACAGGCUCCUGAGAUGUUGUCCAUUAUUUACUCAAAGUCCCAUCACCAAAUGAUCAACAUCUUCCUCUCCACCUGAUCCUUCCUUCUACUAGAAAUAUACUCAGCCACCAAGUUGCAGAUGCUUCCAUGAUGCUGACUUGACUUCCCUGGGCAGAGAACCUCACUAAUGAGUCCAGGAGCCCCAACCUCCCCAGAACCCUACCCCACUAGGAAAAGACAGAGAUGAACUAGGGGUAUGGAUCAACCUUUCAAUGCCCAUUUCCAGUGCAGAAGCAAUUACAGAAGCUGGAAUCCCCACCUUCUGCACCAUAAAGAUCUUUGGUCCAUUCUCCCAGAGGAAUAAGGAACAGGGAAGCUUCCAAUGAAAGGGAUGGGCUAUGGAACCCUGGUGGUGAGAAUUGUGUGUAAUUGUACCCCUCUUAUCCCACAAUAUUGUUGAUCAUUAUUAAAUCACUAAGAAAAAAAAAAUAUAUAUAUAAAUAAAUCUUUUUGCCAGGCUGA